CUCUCUCUCUCUCUCUCGUCUGAAACCUUGGUUACGAAAAUGAUUUUGUUGCUGAAAACGAAAGUUUAUAUGUAGUAGUGUUGUUUGAUGCACGGUGGCCGGUGACUGGAGGUGGUGUUCCGACGAGAUGAUGUCUAUUAUCUACUACCAAACAUUUACUUAUCUAUUGGCCAAAUGGACCGAUUUGUCCCUAGCACAAAUUGCAUUUACAAAGGAAAAAGUGCAUUUUCGUAAUCAACUAAAUAAAAACACAAAAUUUUCAAUUUUUUAACAAGUGUUACAUUCUUAUUGGCCCAACUUGAUUUAGUUACUUUCUCUUUAUAACACCCUUUGUUUCUAGCACAAUUUCAAAUUUCACUUUUUUUCCAAUAAGCUCUUUUCAGAUCUAUUUUGUGAAGCCUAAACUCCUCUCUCUAUCUCUUUCUAUGCCCAUCAACUCAUCCAUUCUUAUACUUCUGUUUCUCUCUCCUUCAUAAUAUUUCUCACUCUCUCUCCCUCGUCUGGAAAAUAAAUCUCACCUUAAACCCAUCUUUAGUUAGUGGUGUUGUUUGAUGCACGGUGGUCGGUGACUGGAGGUGGUGUUCCGGCGAAAUGAUGUGAGGCACAAACGAUGGCUGCAGAUCUGAGUUAAGCUAGAAGUUCAUCCUACAAGAAAGAUAAAGUCUGUAAGUGAUGACUUCAAAUUGUAAGAAUAAAUUUUUGCAAAAUGUAAGAAUGACUUUUUGACAACUGUUUCUGAUAUAUUUUGAGCACCAAAAUAGUUUCACAAUCUUUCUGCUAUGAUUUCCUUUUCCCUUUCUUGUAAGAACCAUUACUGUUAAUAUUUUUAGAAGUUUUUUGACAUUGGUUUCUCGUGGUUCUGGUUCCAAUAACAAUACAGAAAAUGUUGAUCCUUAUUUUGUAUGCAUGUGGGCAAGGUAAAUUCAUUAUAUAUGAGGUUGCUGAUAUUUAAACAAUAUCUCAUGGUUAUUGUCAAUAUUCUUUAAAUCAUAUGCUAAACUUAUGUUUGUUUCUCUGCAUGUGUCCUUCAUAUACAUUUGAUACUAUGAUUCUAAAGAUUCUCAAUAAUAGUCAUUUGAUCCAUACUAUAAACUUUCAAGAUUGCAUCGACUUAUAAGGAUGUGUUGUAUGUUGAAGGGGACUUCUUGGUGGUUAUAAAUUAUUUGAACUGAUUCCAACUUCAGUCUUUUAUGCAUUGAUGGAAAUGGUAGCUGCCAUUGUGAAUGUAGAUGGAAAUGAGAUCGAAACUGGACAUAUAAUUGUCUCCACCAUUAGUGGUAAAAAUGGCCAGCUAAAGCAGGUGUAUGUGUUUUUUUUGUAUGAAAUGUUACAUUUACUUGUACUUUGAUUUUAUGGUUACCCUUUUAUGAAA